GAUGAAAACGUAGCGAAAUGCGAUAAGUAAUGUGAAUUGCAGAAUUCAGUGAAUCAUCGAAUCUUUGAACGCACAUUGCGCCCCCUGGUAUUCCGGGGGGCAUGCCUGUUCGAGCGUCAUUACAACCCUCAAGCUCUGCUUGGUGUUGGGCCCCGCCGCCCCGGCGGGCCCUAAAAUCAGUGGCGGUGCCGUCCGGCUCCGAGCGUAGUAAUUCUUCUCGCUCUGGAGGUCCGGGUGUGUGCUCGCCAGCAACCCCCAAUUUUUUUCAGGUUGACCUCGGAUCAGGUAGGGAUACCCGCUGAACUUAAGCAUAUCAAUAAGCGGAGGA
rnacentral:misc_RNA from 1 species